GACGAACGCUGGCGGCGUGCUUAACACAUGCAAGUCGAACGGAAAGGCCCUGCUUUUGUGGGGUGCUCGAGUGGCGAAAGGGUGAGUAACACGUGAGGAACCUGCCCUUGACUUUGGGAUAACUUCAGGAAACUGGGGCGAAAACCGGAUAGGAGCUCCUGCUGCAUGGUGGGGGUUGGAAAGUUUCGGCGGUUGGGGAUGGACUUGCGGCUUAUCAGCUUGUUGGUGGGGUAGUGGCUUACCAAGGCUUUGACGGGUAGCCGGACUGAGAGGGUGACCGGCCACAUUGGGACUGGGAUACCGGCCAGACUCCUACGGCAGGCAUCAGUGGGGAAUAUUGCACGAUGGGCGGAAGCCUGAUGCAGCAACGCCGCGUGCGGGAUCACGGCCUUCGGGUUGUAACCCGCUUUCGCCUGUGACGAAGCGUGAGUGACGGUAAUGGGUAAAGAAGCACCGGCUAACUACGUG
rnacentral:rRNA from 1 species